CAUAUGACUCUCGGCAAUGGAUAUCUCGGCUCUUGCAUCGAUGAAGAACGUAGUGAAAUGCGAUACUUGGUGUGAAUUGCAGAAUCUCGUGAACCAUUGAGUCUUUGAACGCAAGUUGUGCCCGAGGCCUUGUGGCCGAGGGCACGCCUGCUUGGGCGUCAUGA
rnacentral:rRNA from 1 species